rnacentral:rRNA from 1 species
AUUGAACGCUGGCGGCAGGCCUAACACAUGCAAGUCGAACGGUAACAGAAAGCAGCUUGCUGCUUUGCUGACGAGUGGCGGACGGGUGAGUAAUGUCUGGGAAACUGCCUGACGGAGGGGGAUAACUACUGGAAACGGUAGCUAAUACCGCAUAACGUCGCAAGACCAAAGAGGGGGACCUUCGGGCCUCUUGCCAUCGGAUGUGCCCAGGUGGGAUUAGCUUGUUGGUGGGGUAACGGCUCACCAAGGCGACGAUCCCUAGCUGGUCUGAGAGGAUGACCAGCCACACUGGAACUGAGACACGGUCCAGACUCCUACGGGAGGCAGCAGUGGGGAAUAUUGCACAAAGGGCGCAAGCCUGAUGCAGCCAUGCCGCGUGUAUGAAGAAGGCCUUCGGGUUGUAAAGUACUUUCAGCGGGGAGGAAGGAAGUAAAGUUAAUACCUUUGCUCAUUGACGUUACCCGCAGAAGAAGCACCGGCUAACUCCGUG